CGGGUGAGUAAUAUAUCGGAACGUGCCCAGUUGUGGGGGAUAACUACUCGAAAGAGUGGCUAAUACCGCAUGAGACCUGAGGGUGAAAGCGGGGGAGUCGCAAGACCUCGCGCAAUUGGAGCGGCCGAUAUCAGAUUAGCUAGUUGGUGGGGUAAAAGCCCACCAAGGCAACGAUCUGUAGCUGGUCUGAGAGGACGACCAGCCACACUGGGACUGAGACACGGCCCAG
rnacentral:rRNA from 1 species